UACGGAGGGUGCAAGCGUUAUCCGGAUUCACUGGGUUUAAAGGGUGCGUAGGUGGGUUGGUAAGUCAGUGGUGAAAUCUCCGGGCUUAACCUGGAAACUGCCAUUGAUACUAUCAAUCUUGAAUACCUUGGAGGUGAGCGGAAUAUGUCAUGUAGCGGUGAAAAUGCUUAGAUAUGACAUAGAACACCAAUUGCGAAGGCAGCUCACUACACGGUCAUUGACACUGAGGCACGAAAGCGUGGGGAUCAAACAGG
rnacentral:rRNA from 1 species